rnacentral:rRNA from 1 species
GGACUACUGGGGUAUCUAAUCCUGUUUGCUCCCCUAGCUUUCGUCCCUCAGCGUCAGUUGUGAUCCAGCGAGCCGCUUUCGCCUCGGAUGUUCCUACGGAUAUCUACGCAUUUCACCGCUACACCCGUAAUUCCACUCGCCUCUCUCACACUCUAGCACGGCAGUUUCGGCAGCAGCCUCUAGGUUAAGCCUAGAGAUUUCACUACCGACUUGCCACACCGCCUACGGACCCUUUACGCCCAGUAAUUCCGAGCAACGCUGGCCCCCUACGUUUUACCGCGGCUGCUGGCAC